rnacentral:rRNA from 1 species
GAUCCUGGCUCAGAUUGAACGCUGGCGGCAGGCCUAACACAUGCAAGUCGAACGGUAACAGGAAGCAGCUUGCUGUUUCGCUGACGAGUGGCGGACGGGUGAGUAAUGUCUGGGAAACUGCCUGAUGGAGGGGGAUAACUACUGGAAACGGUAGCUAAUACCGCAUAACGUCGCAAGACCAAAGAGGGGGACCUUCGGGCCUCUUGCCAUCGGAUGUGCCCAGAUGGGAUUAGCUAGUAGGG